AAAUUGAAGAGUUUGAUCAUGGCUCAGAUUGAACGCUGGCGGCAGGCCUAACACAUGCAAGUCGAGCGGAAACGAGUUAUCAGAACC
rnacentral:rRNA from 1 species